ACUAUAUGUAAAAAUUAUAUACUUGAAUAAUUUUGAACGAAAGGGAAUACGGUUCCAAUUCCGUAACCUGUUGAGUAUCCGUUUGUUAUUAAAUAUGGGCCUCGUGCUCAUCCUGGCAACAGGAACGACCAUAAAGAAGCCGUCGAGAGAUAUCGGAAGAGUUUUCUUUUCUGUUUUAUAGUCGUACUACCAUGGAAGUCUUUCGCAGAGAGAUAUGGUAGAUGGGCUAGAAGAGCAUGACAUAUACUGUUGUGUCGAUAUUUUCUCCUCGGACCUUGAAAAUUUAUGGUGGGGAUACGCAAACUUCUCAACAGGCCGUACCAAUAUCCGCAGCUGGUCUCCAAGGUGAAGAGUCUCUAGUCGAUAGAAUAAUGUAGGUAAGGGAAGUCGGCAAAUUAGAUCCGUAACUUCGGGAUAAGGAUUGGCUCUGAAGAUUGAGAUAGUCGGGCUUGAUUGGGAAACAAUAAUAUGGUUUAUGUGCUCGUUCUGGGUAAAUAGAGUUUCGAUCAUUUAUGGUUGUAACUUGUUCCCCGGAUAGUUAGUUACGUAUCCAAUUGUGGAACUUUCUUGCUAAAAUUUUUAAGAAUACUAGUUGGGUCAAACCAAUUAGUUCUUAUUAAUUAUAACGAUUAUCAAUUAACAAUCAAUUCAGAACUGGCACGGACUUGGGGAAUCCGACUGUCUAAUUAAAACAAAGCAUUGUGAUGGCCCUAGCGGGUGUUGACACAAUGUGAUUUCUGCCCAGUGCUCUGAAUGUCAAAGUGAAGAAAUUCAAGUAAGCGCGGGUCAACGGCGGGAGUAACUAUGACUCUCUUAAGGUAGCCAAAUGCCUCGUCAUCUAAUUAGUGACGCGCAUGAAUGGAUUAACGAGAUUCCUACUGUCCCUAUCUACUAUCUAGCGAAACCACAGCCAAGGGAACGGGCUUGGAAUAAUUAGCGGGGAAAGAAGACCCUUUUGAGCUUGACUCUAAUCUGGCAGUGUAAGGAGACAUAAGAGGUGUAGAAUAAGUGGGAGAUAUUAGACUUCGGUUUGGUAUCGCCAAUGAAAUACCACUACUCUUAUUGUUUCCUUACUUACUUGAUUAAAUGGAACGUGUAUCAUUUCCUAGCCAUUAUACGGAUAUAUUUAUUAUAUCUUAUGGUAUUGGGUUUUGAUGCAAGCUUCUUGAUCAAAGUAUCACGAGUUUGUUAUAUAAUCGCAAACAAAUUCUUUAAUGAGAGAUGCAUUUACUGUAUUAUUGAUUUGAAAAUUUGGUAUAACUCCAAUUACUCAGGUAUGAUCCAAUUCAAGGACAUUGCCAGGUAGGGAGUUUGACUGGGGCGGUACAUCUCUCAAAUAAUAACGGAGGUGUCCCAAGGCCAGCUCAGUGCGGACAGAAACCACACAUAGAGCAAAAGGGCAAAUGCUGACUUGAUCUCGGUGUUCAGUA
rnacentral:rRNA from 1 species